rnacentral:rRNA from 1 species
CAGAGAAUCUUCCGCAAUGGGCGAAAGCCUGACGGAGCAACGCCGCGUGAGUGAUGAAGGUCUUCGGAUCGUAAAACUCUGUUAUUAGGGAAGAACAAAUGUGUAAGUAACUAUGCACGUCUUGACGGUACCUAAUCAGAAAGCCACGGCUAACUACGUGCCAGCAGCCGCGGUAAUACGUAGGUGGCAAGCGUUAUCCGGAAUUAUUGGGCGUAAAGCGCGCGUAGGCGGUUUUUUAAGUCUGAUGUGAAAGCCCACGGCUCAACCGUGGAGGGUCAUUGGAAACUGGAAAACUUGAGUGCAGAAGAGGAAAGUGGAAUUCCAUGUGUAGCGGUGAAAUGCGCAGAGAUAUGGGGGAACACCAGUGGCGAAGGCGACUUUCUGGUCUGUAACUGACGCUGAUGUGCGAAAGCGUGGGGAUCAAACAGGAUUAGAUACCCUGGUAGUCCACGCCGUAAACGAUGAGUGCUAAGUGUUAGGGGGUUUCCGCCCCUUAGUGCUGCAGCUAACGCAUUAAGCACUCCGCCUGGGGAGUACGACCGCAAGGUUG